GGACUACUGGGGUUUCUAAUCCUGUUUGCUCCCCACGCUUUCGCACCUCAGUGUCAGUAUCAGUCCAGGUGGUCGCCUUCGCCACUGGUGUUCCUUCCUAUAUCUACGCAUUUCACCGCUACACAGGAAAUUCCACCACCCUCUACCAUACUCUAGCUUGUCAGUUUUGAAUGCAGUUCCCAGGUUGAGCCCGGGGCUUUCACAUCCAACUUAACAAACCACCUACGCGCGCUUUACGCCCAGUAAUUCCGAUUAACGCUUGCACCCUCUGUAUUACCGCGGCUGCUGGCAC
rnacentral:rRNA from 2 species